AUUGCACGCUGGCGGCAGGCCUAACACAUGCAAGUCGAGCGAGCGGCGGACGGGUGCGUAAUGUAUGGGGACUGCCCGAUAGAGGGGGAGAACUACUGGAAACGGUAGCUAAUACCGCAUAAUCUAGGAUAGCCCAUAUGGGAUUAUCUAGUAGGUGAGGUAAUGUCUCAACUAGGCGACGCUCCCUAGAUUGUCUGAGAGGAUGAGCAGCCACACUGUGACGUAGACACGGCCCAGACUCCUACGGAGGCAGAAGUGGGGAAGAUUGCACAAUGGGCGCAAGCCUGAUGCAGCCAUGCCGCGUGUAUGAAGAAGGCCCUAGGGUUGUAAAGUACUUUCAGUCGGGAGGCGUUACCGACAGAAGAAGCACCGGCUAACUCCGUGCCAGCAGCCGCGGUAAUUC
rnacentral:rRNA from 1 species